UACGAAGGGGGCUAGCGUUGUUCGGAAUUACUGGGCGUAAAGCGCACGUAGGCGGAUACUUAAGUUAGGGGUGAAAUCCCAGAGCUCAACUCUGGAACUGCCUCUAAUACUGGGUAUCUCGAGUUCGAGAGAGGUGAGUGGAAUUCCGAGUGUAGAGGUGAAAUUCGUAGAUAUUCGCAAGAACACCAGUGGCGAAGGCGGCUCACUGGCCCGAUACUGACGCUGAGGCACGAAAGCGUGGGGAGCAAACAGG
rnacentral:rRNA from 1 species